CCUACGGGAGGCAGCAGUAGGGAAUAUUGCUCAAUGGGGGAAACCCUGAAGCAGCAACGCCGCGUGGAGGAUGAAGGUUUUCGGAUUGUAAACUCCUUUUGUUAGAGAAGAUAAUGACGGUAUCUAACGAAUAAGCACCGGCUAACUCCGUGCCAGCAGCCGCGGUAAUACGGAGGGUGCAAGCGUUACUCCGAAUCAAUGGGCGUAAAGAGCGCGUAGGCGGGAUAGCAAGUCACAUGUGAAAUCCUAGGGCUUAACCAUAGAACUGCAAUUGAAACUGUUAUUCUAGAGUAUGGGAGAGGUAGGUGGAAUGCUUGGUGUAGGGGUAAAAUCCGUAGAGAUCAAGAGGAAUACUCAUUGCGAAGGCAACCUGCUAGAACAUAACUGACGCUGAUGCGCGAAAGCGUGGGGAGCAAACAGGAUUAGAUACCCGUGUAGUC
rnacentral:rRNA from 1 species